rnacentral:rRNA from 1 species
UGGGGAAUCUUGCGCAAUGGGCGAAAGCCUGACGCAGCAACGCCGCGUGUGUGAAGAAGGUUUUCGGAUCGUAAAGCACUGUUGAGUAGGAAGAGAAGGUUUCGGUUAAUACCCGAGGCCCCGACGGUACUACUUUAGAAAGCACCGGCUAACUCCGUGCCAGCAGCCGCGGCAAUACGGAGGGUGCAAGCGUUGUUCGGAAUUAUUGGGCGUAAAGGGCGCGUAGGCGGGUCAUUAAGUCUGAUGUGAAAUCCCUCGGCUCAACCGAGGACGUGCAUUGGAAACUGAUGAUCUUGAGUCCUGGAGAGGAAGGCGGAAUUCCCAGUGUAGAGGUGAAAUUCGUAGAUAUUGGGAGGAACACCAGCGGCGAAGGCGGCCUUCUGGACAGUGACUGACGCUGAGGUGCGAAAGCGUGGGUAGCAAACAGG